UACAGAGGGUGCAAGCGUUAAUCGGAAUUACUGGGCGUAAAGCGUGCGUAGACGGUUAUUUAAGUCAGGUGUGAAAGCCCCGGGCUCAACCUGGGAAUUGCAUUUGAGACUGAAUAGCUAGGGUGCGGAAGAGGGAAGCGGAAUUUCCGGUGUAGCGGUGAAAUGCGUAGAUAUCGGAAGGAACACCAGUGGCGAAGGCGGCUCACUGGCCCGGUACUGACGCUGAGGUGCGAAAGCGUGGGGAGCAAACAGG
rnacentral:rRNA from 1 species